rnacentral:rRNA from 1 species
UACGUAGGGUGCAAGCGUUAAUCGGAAUUACUGGGCGUAAAGCGUACGCAGGCGGCUAGGUAAGACAGGUGUGAAAUCCCCGGGCCUAACCUGGGAACUGCAUUUGUGACUGCUUAGCUAGAGUCUGUCAGAGGGGGGUGGAAUUCCACGUGUAGCAGUGAAAUGCGUAGAGAUGUGGAGGAACACCGAUGGCGAAGGCAGCCCCCUGGGAUAAGACUGACGCUCAUGUACGAAAGCGUGGGGAGCAAACAGG